rnacentral:lncRNA from 1 species
CUCAAUUCACCUCUGUAAUUGCAAGUAUAUAAUUUUUUUUUUUUUCUUUUUGUUUUGCUCCCAGCUCUUCAAGUCCCUUGUCCAUUUUCAGUGGUAUCUGGAAGAACUGGUAUUGUUGGGGCAGACAGAGCAGGAAGGAUACUCAAGAGGACCUCUCCUCUUUACCCCCUGAGAACUGACAGAAACCAAACCUAUGUUCCAAGCAAAAGGUGCUCUGUCAGUUUGCAAUCCCACUACCCUUGUCUAAUCCUACAACUAUGGAAGAAACCUACACAGUCACCUUCAGAUGCUGAAGCUGUUCUCUGAGGGAAACUCUAAAGCCUUAUACAUAUAAAAGCCAACCAAAAAUGGCAUUUAAGACCUAACUUAUUCCUGACUGUGGCUCCAGUUAUCUUUG